rnacentral:rRNA from 1 species
UACGGUAGGUGGCGAGCGUUAUCCGGAAUUAUUGGGCGUAAAGAGCGCGCAGGUGGUUGAUUAAGUCUGAUGUGAAAGCCCACGGCUUAACCGUGGAGGGUCAUUGGAAACUGGUCGACUUGAGUGCAGAAGAGGGAAGUGGAAUUCCAUGUGUAGCGGUGAAAUGCGUAGAGAUAUGGAGGAACACCAGUGGCGAAGGCGGCUUUCUGGUCUACCCCUGACGCUGAGGAGCGAAAAGCCAGGGGGAGCAAACGGGAUUAGAUACCCCCUGUA